CUGUAACGUUUCCGCCAUUGUGGUUGCAACUGUCAAAAAUACCGACAUUAUCGAGUAUUCAAACAUUUCUUCAAAUACCUAUUUCUGAUCAGUUUUAAAUCGUAGUUGUGUAGUUGAAGGUAUCCGCUGCCGGCGGUUGGCUGGCAACCCGAGCAGCCGAGCGUAGCGCGACGUCCCGCUCCCGCGAUCUAACCCCUGUUCAUUGCCCCCUCGACAUACCCUCAUUAUGCUUAUCUGGAUCAUUUACCCCAUUUUUCUUUUUUAACCGUAAUUAAUUUGAUGUCAGUUUGUCUCAGAUAUUUUUAUAAUUAGGAAACUAGAUCGUAUCUUCAAAAUUAAUCGUAAAGCAUUAUUAGAACAUAUAAUUUAAUUUGUUAAUUCUAAAAUUGAUUGAAGUUUUCAAAUUUUUCAAUUUUCUUUAUUGUUCGUGGUCUAUUAAAAAUAUUGGUUGGUAAUAAAGUUUCAAUGAGGGUAGGUUUUAAAUGUAAACCUUUUAUUUUAUAAACGACAGCGGAAGUCUUUUCUAAAAAAAAGGAGAUAAAGGGAGACUUCCGCGUACAGUCUACCGGCGUUUAUAGAAUGGUACCCACGUUGCCAUUAACUAUUUGACGAGCUCAGAAAUCCCAAUGAAAUAUUAGGCAAAUUGUUUAUCUUGUGACGUAGACGGAAGCAGAGCGCGAUUAUUUUAGUUUUGAUUACGUAUUGCCCUAGAUGUGUAAGAUCGAGCGUGUGAUGACGGGAUGAGUCAGGUGCGCUACGUCACGCCAUGUGCCCUGACGUGGUCGCCCUUUGGCCUGUCACUCUGCCACUCAUGCUCCCCGCCUACUGCGAGCAGCGGGCGCUGAGGUCGCGGUAAUCCAGCCAACUGCAGAGAAGAAACAGAACAGAAGAGAACAGGGGCAUAAUGCGCAAAUGCAGCAGAGGUUGCAAGUUAAAUGGAUAACAACGGACAAUUAGCAGAAGGAAAGAAGCAUUGUUGGUGGUGAGUCAGCAUGAUGUCAUUCUCGAGCACGCUGCGCUAAUGGGAGCGUCCCGCGUCACUUCCCAUUCCCGACGCAUACUUCACCCAAUCGAGCGAUGACAAGCCCAUUCAUGGAGCGAACUGUUGUUUAACAUCACAUUCCUGGAAUGCCAACCUAAUUGAACUAGUGGAUCUACUUUAGUCCACUCAUAGCAUAGAAGAAAUUUGCUAAGGGAAAGGUUUCUAAGGGAAACCCAGUAUUCUCCAUCAAAUCCUGCAUUGAGACAUCUAUUCAUGUAGCUAACUGGUAUUUAUCGUCACUUUUCUAAAAUGCUUAUCGUCUAUUGAUUUAUUUCGGUCUCCUAGCAGAAGAAGGAACCUAAGAAAGGGUAAAAGAGACGACACUUAGUUUGCGAGAUUUGGCUAAGUUACGCAAAUAUUCUAAUUUGAUAUACGUAACUAGAUUGCUAUUCCAUUAUUACAUAAUAGGAUUUCCUUUUUUAAUACCCAAUUCAUCAAACUGUUCUUUUAUGCUCUAUUUUGU